GACGAACGCUGGCGGCGUGCUUAACACAUGCAAGUCGAACGGAAAGGCCCUGCUUGCAGGGUGCUCGAGUGGCGAACGGGUGAGUAACACGUGGGUGAUCUGCCCCUUACUUUGGGAUAAGCCUGGGAAACUGGGUCUAAUACUGGAUAGGACCAUGCUGUAGGUGGUGUGGUGGAAAGAUUAGUUUCGGUAAGGGAUGAGCUCGCGGCCUAUCAGCUUGUUGGUGGGGUAAUGGCCUACCAAGGCGUCGACGGGUAGCCGGCCUGAGAGGGUGGACGGCCACAUUGGGACUGAGAUGCGGCCCAGACUCCCACGGGAGGCAGCAGUGGGGAAUAUUGCACAAUGGGCGCAAGCCUGAUGCAGCGACGCCGCGUGGGGGAUGACGGCCUUCGGGUUGUAAACUCCUUUCAGCCAUGACGAAGCCCUUGUGGUGACGGUAGUGGUAGAAGAAGCACCGGCUAACUACGUG
rnacentral:rRNA from 1 species